GGCGGUAUAGCUCGGUGGUAGAGCAUGUGCUGGUCCUGGGUUCAAUCCCCAGUAACUCCG
rnacentral:tRNA from 1 species